UACCAGCACCCCGAGUGGUCGGGACGAUUAUUGGGUCUAAAGCAUCCGUAGCCGGUCAUGCAAGUCUUCCGUUAAAUCCAGCCGCUCAACGGUUGGGCUGCGGAGGAUACUACGUGGCUAGGAGGCGGGAGAGGCAAGCGGUACUCAGUGGGUAGGGGUAAAAUCCUUUGAUCCAUUGAAGACCACCAGUGGCGAAGGCGGCUUGCCAGAACGCGCUCGACGGUGAGGGAUGAAAGCUGGGGGAGCAAACCGG
rnacentral:rRNA from 1 species